UGCAUUGCUGUAGAUGCACUUCAGAUGGGCUAUUGAUCCCACCACCUUUUUGAGGGGUGAUACCUUAAUUCCUACAUGACUGUUCUCAGCACUCCCACCAUUUCUAACUCAUCAAUAACCCUUGCAUCUUUGCUGCUAAGGAUCCUUUAAAAGGAAAAUUUAUUAUCCGAGUGUUUUUUAACUGUGUUCUCCAGUCCCGUGCACUUGAUUGUCAUAAUCUAGAGCCAUACCAGUCUCUGGGUAGCAGUUUUUUAGCAAUUCAGAAGAUUUAUGUGUCUGUUGCUGUGCUGAAUGCCAUUCUUUGAGCAUUCGUCUGUCAUGAUUGAUGUUUGUCAUAAUGUACUGCACAAACAUCUUUAAAAACACUGGAUGCUGCUACUUUCCAGAGCUGCUUAAAAGAAUUGUCAUGUCUCAGCUAAAAUGGAAAAGAAUUGCUCAUCUGAGGCAAAGAGCUCUCACAGAGCUUGUCUUCAAAAUUGGUAAUCAGAAGUGACUGCUCUUCAGGAGAUCAGAGCUUCCAAUGUAUCAUGCUGGGCUUCUAUUCUACCAGAGGAUGAAAUGACUAACGAUGCUACUAGGAAUUAGUGAUGCAAGAGGUCAAGUGUGUUAGAAUUUUCGCAGAAUCAACUGACUGGGUUCUUUUCAUUCAAAGAUAUGAUCUCCAUGGUCUCCUCCCACUAUUAAAUGAGAAAAAGGAAUCUAAUAGGACUCAGAUCCCAUGAAAAAGAAAUCCCUCUAUGAUACAGGAGUGUGAGAAAAGAUGAAGGACCACUUGUGUAGAUGGAUUUAAAGGACAGAUGUAAGUCAUAAGGAAUGGUUAUACUACUGUUACUACUAACAGAGUUCUGAAACACAGAAUAUUUCUAGUGUGUCACCAUUAACAGAGAACAAAGACGGUCUUUGGUGAUUUCUUCCUCUCUUCCUUUC